UGUGUUUAUGUGUUUCAAUUAUGUAAAGUUUAAUUAUCGCAUCUCAUGGCAUUUCCUGCAUCUUAUAAACUGUUUUGGAGUUUUGUGGAUAUCCCGGCCCUUGUUGUUCAAUUCCAUAAUGUGUUGGAAAUACGAACAGCUUAUCAGCACAUGAGUCGUCUGACGCUGUUCAUAUUUUCAAACUCAAGUUGUCCGCUUGAGAACCAGUGUUCAAGCCCACUCUAGACACCGAGGAUAGAACAAAACCAAAACUCUAUUUUAGGCAUCUGCCUAGGACGACCCAAUAUCCGAGCGGGGUAUUGGGCCCAUUAGAAUACCUUUCCUACGUCUAUUGACCCCGAGUCAAUUAUAGAUGAACCAUAUUUAUGUGUUGAAGAAAAUGUAUGCCUGUCUAAUUCAAUCCAUUAUCCUUUAGGGGUCGGGUAAAAGCUUGAUUUGCUUACUUUCAUAAGAAGAAUUGAAGCAAGUUAAGCAAGAAAUUGAUCGAUUUGGGAGGUUGCAUCUAAGGCACAAUUUGAGCACCGACAGAUGUCACCAAUAUGAGAAGUGGACAUAGCUAAGAAGACAAAGGCAGACGAAGGAGCCUCCAGUAGCUAUUUUUUCUAUUUCCCCUGCGCGG
rnacentral:lncRNA from 1 species